rnacentral:rRNA from 1 species
UACGGGGGGGGGUAAGCGUUGUUCGGAAUUACUGGGCGUAAAGGGCUCGUAGGCGGCCAACUAAGUCAGACGUGAAAUCCCUCAGCUUAACUGGGGAACUGCGUCUGAUACUGGAUGGCUUGGAUUCGGGAGAGGAAUGCGGAAUUCCAGGUGUAGCGGUGAAAUGCGUAGAUAUCUGGAGGAACACCGGUGGCGAAGGCGGCAUUCUGGACCGACAUUGACGCUGAGGAGCGAAAGCAUGGGGAGCGAACAGG